GCUUGUCCCGUCCCGCUACGGCACGUCGCAACGCGCCGCGUCGUCGUGGUAAAGCGCGCACGUAGGCACGCGUUCGGCUAUGCUCGUCCCGAACCCGAGGCGACCCGAAGUGACCCGAGGCAACUCGUCACGAUUCCGACUACAACUUCGACUCCGAUUCGCGCUCGUUUCGAUCGUACUGUUGCCUCUUUGCCUGUUUUACACCGCCCGUAUGAUGCCAUCGACUGCUGCAAAGAGGUUCACGGAUUCAGAACCUGCAACCACUUGAACGGCACCAUUCGCACCCUUGAUGAUGAGUCGCGAACGCGACUUAAGCGGCUGCCGUGCAGCUGGCAGCAAAGCUUUUACACAGACGCAUUCGCGACACGUCGCCCGCACUCCCAACCUCCACCAACACUUGGCCGUUGCGUCAUCACGGUUUCACGGUGCGCUGGGAUUCGACGGGAGGAGAAGGCGCGCGAGCGCGCAAACGGGACCACUGCGAGAGCGACGCAUCUGUAUCGCUCCGCUUGCACUUAUUACAAAUCCGCCAGUGAUACUCAACCUAAUUUAAACUUCACGCGAGCGUGAUGUGUCGGCGCAACGGUAUGGCUCUGAGUUAAACGUAGAUUGGUAUCUACGAUCAAUUUUUUAUUUUUGUUUUCUUUUUUCUUUACACAUGAUAUUUGUCUGAAACCGAAUGUUUGUAUAUAGGUUAACACUAUUAAAGCAGAUCGGUUUAUCGUAAUUGGAUAUGUUAAGGUAAAUUAUAUAGAUCAAAUACUAUUAUUCUAAACUGCAUAUGAAUUUAAACGGCUUAAUAUUGAAUCACGGUUAUGUUUCAUAUUGCCAAUAUAAUUCAUGGAAUAACGUUUGAACAUAAUAGCAAAUUAGCAUAUAUCAGCAUAUUUUAAACGUGAAUAGAUUAAAUAAAUUCUAAAGAAUAUCUAUAGCAUCCAGAUUAUAGCAGAUCAGUUGAAAAACUUGUUUACGGUAGAUAUUUUUAAUUACUGCAUAGAAAAGAAAAUAACAAAUCAAAGUGAUCAUUGGCUUAUUAAUAGUACAUCUAACUUGAAAAUAGAGUCGACCAUGUUUUGCUUCUCAUUAUGGUUAGAUACAUUACGAUCAGGUGCUCCAACGUUCGAAAGCGAUAAUUUGCGCUUAACUUCGACCUGCGUAUAAAGUAAUUAUCGCGGUUAGAUCGAAUACGAGCCAAGCGCGAUGAUUAAGGAUCGAAGAUUCACUAGAGCGUCUGUUCACUAAUGUUAGUCGGUGAUAUGCAUCUUCGAAACGAGAGGCAAUAUUAACAACGCGGAUGUCGCGUGCAGAUAUUGUACGAAUAUCACGACAAGCUAGAAUGGCGAGGUGGCAUUUGUAAUUAAAUGUCCGACACGGUAUCAUAAAGACGGGCCUCAUAUCACGACAUCACCCGCGCAAUUGAUGCUCGUCCGCUGCAUUCUUUGCAUGCUAGAUUCCGCGUGUUGCAUUUCAAUUAAUACGAAUGCCGGACCAGACAAUUUUAACGAUACUUUGGUGACUUAAGUCUGUGAAUAUAAACUGGUGUAUUUAUUCUCGUUUUAUCAAGAAAAUUAAUCCUCCAUAAGCAAGCUAAUCCGUUUAUGGUUCAAGUGAAAUUUCUCUAUGUAUUUCAUUUUUUUCAAAAGGAUUUUCAUCGUGGUCUUGGUUAAAAAAUUGUUCCAAAUAUUUGAUUUAGAGAAUGAAAGAUAGGGCAAUGGAACAUUUGAAAGAGUGAUUUGUUUUUCUUGAAAUUUUCUUUUCCCAAAAUUAGAGUUCUAUCUUAACGUAAGUUACAUACUUACUUAUAGUUUGCAUACUUACUUACUGAUAUCAACUUAGAGUUCAUUUAACGUUUUUAAUUGGAAAAACAAAUUUUACGAGCUGAACCAUGUAAGUAAAUGAUAUAAGCGAUGAGUUUUCGUUGAAUCAAGGGGUAAUCAGGAUUGCUCUUGGAAGUAAUGCGGGCUUCAAUUAGUGAAGAAACUGUGAACAGUUUAGUUCGCAAUGUAUUACUCUGGUAUCGAAAUGGUCGAUAUUCUCGUCAACAAUAGGGGAACAUAGAGAAAAAUACGAACCGAUUUAGGGAUAUAAUACAGAUAAGGGGAGAUCAGGACGCGAGAAAACCAAAGACAAGGGAAAGAAACUUGGAUGCGGUGACGGAGCGAUAACGAUAUGUGUCUGACUAUGAAACAUAUAAGUUACAAGAUGAAAUAAUAUGCUAAUAGUACAAGGAAUUAAAUAGAUACAAAUUUUUAGUAAUAUCAUACUGAUUAUGAAGUAACUUCUUAAUUUCUUAAAAGACGCUCAUUGUUUUAACGCUGACAGUUUCUCUUUGAUCAUUCGUUUUAACAUAGAGAAGAUUAUUUUUAACGUAUAUGACAAAUAUUUAUAAGUGUAUGAGUUUACCGAAACGAAUACAUAAAAUGAAUUUUUGUUUUUAAAAAAUCCCAAAAUAAUAUGGGCAAUUGAACAAAGCCGGUUAAAACACAGAAAAAUUUGAUUAUCCAAUUAAGCACAAUUUGAUUAUUCAUUUUUUAGAUAAACGUCUGUUCGUAAUUUAUGUGUUAAUACAUUGAUUGGACAAUUAAAUGACAUUGUCGUUAAUAAACAAUAAAUAUUUUUUUAUAGUAUAUGUAUUGAUGCACCAAGAAUUUAAUAUUCUAAAUUCAAUGGUAUUAUAGCAAUAGCCGAAACAAAUGUUAAAAAUAGGCCGGUUUAUAAGAACCACAGUGGCUUUGUAAUAAAAAAAUAUCAGCCAAACAUAAGACCGACGAACUAGCCAACUGAAGUUUUAAAUUAUUAAUAUUUUCCCAUUGAAACGUAAUCGUUAUUCAAAAAAGGUGUCAACCGUUCGACGAAUAGCUGCCACUUCGUGAUGUAACUUUUUCAAACAUCGAUCAGCAUUUCGCUUUCCCUUUAUAUUUAUUUACUUGAAUUCAUAUCUAGCAUGUAACAUUUAAUAAAUAUGUCAGCGAAAAGAAUUUUGGCUGGAAAUAUACGUGAAAUGAUAACAAA